UCGUGACCCCAGGUCAGGCGGGAUUA
rnacentral:rRNA from 2 species